rnacentral:rRNA from 1 species
UACAGAGGGGGCAAGCGUUGUUCGGAAUUAUUGGGCGUAAAGAGCUCGUAGGCGGUGUGUCGCGUCGGCCGUGAAAACCUGCAGCUUAACUGUGGGCUUGCGGUCGAUACGGGCAUCACUGGAGUUCGGCAGGGGAGACUGGAAUUCCUGGUGUAGCGGUGAAAUGCGCAGAUAUCAGGAGGAACACCGGUGGCGAAGGCGGGUCUCUGGACCGAUACUGACGCUGAGGAGCGAAAGCGUGGGGAGCGAACAGG